rnacentral:rRNA from 1 species
GAUGAACGCUGGCGGCGUGCCUAAUACAUGCAAGUCGAGCGAACAGACGAGGAGCUUGCUCCUCUGACGUUAGCGGCGGACGGGUGAGUAACACGUGGAUAACCUACCUAUAAGACUGGGAUAACUUCGGGAAACCGGAGCUAAUACCGGAUAAUAUAUUGAACCGCAUGGGUCAAUAGUGAAAGACGGUUUUGCUGUCACUUAUAGAUGGAUCCGCGCCGCAUUAGCUAGUUGGUAAGGUAACAGCUUACCAAGGCAACGAGGCGUAGGCGACCUGAGAGGGUGGUCGCCCACACGGGAACGUAGACACGCUCCUGGCUCCUACGGGAGGCAGCAGUAGGGAAUCUUCCGCAAUGGGCGAAAGCCUGACGGAGCAACGCCGCGUGAGUGAUGAAGGUCUUCGGAUCGUAAAACUCUGUUAUUAGGGAAGAACAAAUGUGUAAGUAACUAUGCACGUCUUGACGGUACCUAAUCAGAAAGCCACGGCUAACUACGUG